rnacentral:tRNA from 1 species
GUGGCUAUGGUGUAGCGGUAGCACAUGAGCUUGUGGAGCUCCUAGUCUGGGUUCAACUCCCAGUAGUCACC